UACGGAGGGAGCUAGCGUUAUUCGGAAUUACUGGGCGUAAAGCGCACGUAGGCGGCUUUGUAAGUUAGAGGUGAAAGCCUGGAGCUCAACUCCAGAAUUGCCUUUAAGACUGCAUCGCUUGAAUCCAAGAGAGGUGAGUGGAAUUCCGAGUGUAGAGGUGAAAUUCGUAGAUAUUCGGAAGAACACCAGUGGCGAAGGCGGCUCACUGGCUUGGUAUUGACGCUGAGGUGCGAAAGCGUGGGGAGCAAACAGG
rnacentral:rRNA from 1 species